rnacentral:rRNA from 1 species
UACGUAGGGUGCAAGCGUUAAUCGGAAUUACUGGGCGUAAAGCGUGCGCAGGCGGUUAUGCAAGACAGAUGUGAAAUCCCCGGGCUCAACCUGGGAACUGCAUUUGUGACUGCAUGGCUGGAGUGCGGCAGAGGGGGAUGGAAUUCCGCGUGUAGCAGUGAAAUGCGUAGAUAUGCGGAGGAACACCGAUGGCGAAGGCAAUCCCCUGGGCCUGCACUGACGCUCAUGCACGAAAGCUGGGGGAGCGAACAGG